AGUGAACGCUGGCGACGUGCUUAACACAUGCAAGUCGAACGAGAACGGGUUAUAGCUUGCGAUAAUUGUCAGCUAAGUGGCGCACGGGUGCGUAAUGUAUAGGUAAUAUGCCUCUUACUAAGGGAUCACAAAUGGAAACGUUUGAUAAUACCUUAUACUAAUUACUAACUAAAGUUAGUAAGGGAAAGAUUUAUUGGUAAGAGAUUAGCCUGUAUUGUAUAAGUUAGUUGGUGGGGUAAUGGCCUACCAAGACAAUGACGCAUAACUGGCUUGAGAGGAUGAUCAGUCACACUGGAACUGAGACGCGGUCCAGACUCCUACGGGAGGCAGCAAUGGGGAAUAUUGCACAAUGGACGAAAGUCUGAUGCAGCAACGCCGCGUGGAGGAUGACACAUUUCGGUGCGUAAACUCCUUUUAUAUAAGAAGAUAAUGACGGUAUUAUAUGAAUAAGCACCGGCUAACUCUGUGCCAGCCGCCGCAGUAA
rnacentral:rRNA from 1 species